rnacentral:tRNA from 1 species
UAGCUGUAUUUUUAGUUUCGACCUAAUCCCCCUUGUGAUCAAGACAGCUAAC